CUGGAACACUUCAUCCGUUGUGUCGAACUUUCCCAUAUCCCGAACUUGUAAGAACUUGUCCGCGUAAACUGCGGUGACAACUGGUCAUCCAGGCAGUUGAUAUGUAGUGUCCUUUCUGCUUGGGACCAUUUUCCGCCCGUGGAGGUAUGUCCACAGCGCGCUCCCCAGCCCCGUGUGCUGGCAUCUGAUUCUAUUACGCAAUAUGGGUUGUUGCCGAAGAUUGCUCUGCCGUUCCACGCUUCCAUGUGCUGCAGCCACCACCUGAGCUCCUCCUUGGCUGUGUGAUCGAGUGGCACAGAGUCUGAGUAGGAGUGUCCUGAGC